UACGUAGGGGCAAGCGUUGUCCGGAUUUAUUGGGCGUAAGCGCGUGUAGGCGGCCAGGUAGGUCUGCUGAUGAAAACGUCGAGGCUCAACCUCGAGACGUCGGGCAGAAACCCUCUGGCUAGAGUCCGGAAGAGGAGAGUGGGAAUUCCUGGUGUAGCGGUGAAAUGCGCAGAUAUCAGGAAGAACACCCGUGGCGAAGGCGGCUCUCUGGGACGGUACUGACGCUGAGACGCGAAAGCGUGGGGAGCGAACAGG
rnacentral:rRNA from 1 species